ensembl:lncRNA
CUGCCAGGCAUCUGCACCCGGUAGACGACCUCUCCCAGCCGCUCCAGGACCAGACACGGUCCCACCCAGUGGCUAUCCAGCUUAGGGCACCUGCCUUUCUUCCGUUUAGGAGUGUAGGUCCACACCAGCUCCCCAGGCGCAAAGUGUCGACCUUUCGCCCGGACGUCAUAAUUCCUCUUUUGUCGCACGCCCGCACUACGCAUUUGCCUGCGGGCAUACGCAUGUGCAGAGUCCAAGCGGUCCUGCGUAGUCCGGGCCUACAGGGACCCGCGGCGCAUCCGGGGGUCGUCCAAAGGUCAGUUCCGCUGGUGUUCUCAACUCUCUGCCCAACAUGAGGAGGGACGGUGUACAUGAAGUGUAGUCAUGGACCGCAGUGCGACACGCCAUCAGAACCAGGGGCAAAUGCAUAUCCCAAUCGCGCUGAUGGUCGGCAGUCAGGAUAGAUAGCUGUUCGCCCAGAGUCCGGUUAAAUCUUUCCACUAACCCAUCACUCUGGGGGUGGAGUGGUGUUGUACGGGUCUUUGUGAUGCCCAGACGUGUACACAUCGUGGCAAAAACUUUAGAUUCGAAAUUUCUCCCCUGAUCGCUAUGGAUUGACUCUGGCACCCCCAGCCGACUGAUUAUCCCCUCCACUAGGGCAUCAACAAUGGUCUCGGCCUCCUGGUCCUUAAUGGCAUAGGCCUCAGGCCAUUUAGUGAAAUAAUCCACAGUAGCGAGUAUGUAGCGAUUACCUCUGUCUGUGAGUGGGAGAGGGCCCAGAACGUCUACACCCAGCCGCUGCAUGGGCUCCCCCACCGGAAACUGCUGUAGCUGAGCCCUGGACUGGCCCGGUGGUCCUUUGCGGGCAGUGCAGAGAUCACAGCACCGACAAAAGUCUUCAACGUCUCUCCUCAGCCGCCCCCAAUAGAAGGCCUGACGGACCCGCCGGAGUGUUUUGGUCACCCCAAAGUGACCGGAGCCUGCAGAGCCAUGCAUGGCUUCGAGAACAGCCCCCUGCAUCCCUCUGGGUACCACCGUCUGCCACUUUUUCUCUCCCGACGCUGGUUCUAACCAUGCCCGCUGAAGGACCCCAUCAGCCAGCUGCAAAGAAUUAAAUUUAGCCCACAGCCCUUUUGUCCAUGGGGAGAGAGCGGUCACCUCCUCCCUGGGCGGCCGCUGCCGCGCCUCCACCCACAGCAUCACUGGCUGCACGUCCGGGUCUUGUUGCUGUUCCGCGGCCCAGAUAGCAUUGUCUACCACCAGCAGCUCUCUACAAGCCCUGACAGUCUCUUCACACUCCUCUCUGUCCCGCUUGUUUGGCCCCAGAACCAGCUGCUGUUCUCUGACCUCUCUGCGGUCACAAUACCGGCAGUCGUCUUCACUGCAGGGUCGACGGGACAGUGCGUCAGCGUUCUUCUCCAGCACGGUGAACCACGCUGAACUCGUAGCCUUGCAGCUCCUCCAGCCAACGAGCCAGCUGUCCCUCAGGCUCUCGGAAUGUCAUCAGCCACUGCAGUGAGGCAUGAUCAGUGCGUACAGUGAAGGGGCGGCCACACAAGUAGUACUUAAAAUGCCGUGCGGCAAAGACGACAGCAAGCAGCUCCCUACGUGUGACGCAAUACCGCCGCUCAGCUUUAUUCAGGGCUUUGCUGUAGUAGGCCACAACCCUCUCUCCUUCCGGCCAUGCCUGUGAUAAGACUGCCCCCACUCCAUCGCCGCUAGCGUCUGUGUCCAGAACAAAAGGCACUUCGGGGUCAGGGGCUGCCAGGAUGGGUGCGCUUGACAGAGCCUCUUGGAGGGUGUUGAAUGCGCUUUCACAGUCCUCCGCCCACACAAAGGGCUGGUCCUUCUGCAGGAGCCUGUACAGGGGGGCCGCAAUCCCUGAAAAUCCCCGCACGAAUUUCCUGUAAUAGGAAGCUAAACCCCAAAAACUUUUUAGUCCCCUCUGGUCUGUCGGGCUGGGCCACUCACGUAUGACACGCACCUUCUCCUCCACUGUGCCGAUACCCUCGCUGCCUAUUCGGUGCCCCAGAAAGGUCAGCUCCCUGCACAGCAGCCUGCAUUUGUCCGGGUGUAACUUCAGUCCAGCCCCUUUGAUCCUCUCCAUAACUCGGCGCAGUGCUGCCAUAGCUGAAUCAAAUGAGCUGCCAUGGGCCAGAAUGUCAUCUAAGUACACCAGGCACUCCGUGUGUGGAGCUAACACCCUCUCCAUCAAGCGUUCGAAUGUGGCAGGCGCAUUACACAGUCCAAAACAGAGCACCUUAAACUGCCACAGCCCCUUUCCUGUGCAGAAUGCGGUCUUGGGCCGGGCCUCUUCGGCCAGGGGGACCUGCCAAUAGCCGCUCCUCCAAGUCCAAGGACGAGACACUGCAUGAAAAGUGAGAUUUUCGUCCCCGUAAACGCCCGGAAAUCUCCCUAAUUUCCGACAAUUUGCAACCCGCGUGUUGGGGGAAAAUUGUUGAGCCUGCGUGGGGUGAGGCUCUCAGGAAUGUGACCUUUGAUGUGAGCUGGUGACUUAAGGCAGUUCAGGGUGAGAUAAAACACAGAUGAAACCAUACGUGCCCUGACUGACCUUUUAGAUGUUGUUGAUUGUCUGGGUCCAUAAAGGGAGGGUCACAGGGUCACCCCUACAUCAUCUGGUACUUUUCCAACACUCCUCUUUGAGGGGUGGGCUGUCCUGUCCUGAGGCACCACAAACCUCCCUGAAGUGUAUAUAAGCUCCUGUUCUCCUCUUCAACUUUGUCAGAUCUUCCUGCUCCUUUUGGGGGAAGGAACAUCUGUCCCUUUUCAGCUGAAUUGUAGUCAUUUGACUUCUGUCUGUGCUUACGACUUGUGCUGAUGAUUUCUGUAUUCUUUAUCUUUUUUCUAUAUUCUAGUUAGUAAUAAAUACUUAAUCACAAGCAAGCUCAAGAUACUUUUGAUUUCUCACAUGGGCUAAAUCCACAAAUUUCCACCACACCGCGCACGUCGCGUUUGUCUGUGCCACAAAUUGUCGGAAACGAACCAUGACGUAGGUGGAGAGCUGGCGGAGGUGCGAAUGGCCAGAAUUAGCAUAUGAAUGCAGCGAGACCGCGGGUGGCCGAGCCGAGCGGGCUUGAAUAUCCUUACUCCUUAUUGGAUGAAACCACAACUUACUAACAAAUAAAAUCACUCGUGAUUGGCAUCAAAACCCCACUUGGGCAGACCAGGCUUGAGUUUCCUCGUUCAUGAUUGGAUGAAACCACAACUUUCAAUCACUCGUGAUUGGUUGGCAGAUCUGUCGCUAUUGGUCACCCGCCUCCUUUUAUUUAUAUAUUCAUAUUAUGCUGUAUAUUCAGUUCAUUGUUAUCCUAUGUAGGUUACUACACUAUUAUUAGGAUACCAACCAGAACAUCAAUGAAUUUAUAGAGAAAAUGAACAUUUGACACAUGUUUAUGCAAAGAAAGAGCUUUAUUAACAACACAACAACAACAACUACAUACAAAGUGAGGAUCUGCCCACACUUGGGUAACGGCGGUUUAAAAACUACAGCUCAGUAAACUGUCCGUCUGCCUCCUCGGGGUUGUUGACCGUCACUGGCGCCGUGUUUUCCGAGGCAGGUCUGUUGUGCAGGCGCCUCGUGUGCGGGUGGCGACCGUACAAUCCACCCCGAGACCCCGCCAACAACGCCGUCCCCUCCGUCCGACGUGAGCUCCACGGUGGCGGAUUUCCACCUCCUGUAAAAACAACAAUGAAUCAGUACUGUGCGAUGCGUACGGACACAACACAUCGAUCAAUGCACCUGAAACAAGUCAGCAAAUAAACUCUGACCCUCUUUCUUCUCGCUCGACUCCGCGCUGAAUCCUUCGCAGUUUCAGCCCGCAGUGAGUGUUCCGGCUGAACCUGAAGCUCCUGCGUACAGUCUCACAAUACGUCUCACAGGCGGCUGGAAAACAAUUAAAUGAGUGUGGUAUGAAUACAAAAAAAAAAUCAAACGCAAGUCACAGUAACAUUUAACAAGGAAGGAGAAACAGUAAACAGUGUCACUUACACACAAUGACGUCGUCUAAAUCUGGACUUUUCCCGGAGCAAAUACGAGGUCACCGCCUCAUUAUGAGGCGACAUUAGUCUGUGAAAACAAAAUGUACAGUUAUGAUGGGUAUCUAUACGUAUAUAUUUCCUUAUAGCGCAGAAUGAAAGCAUAUUCUGUAAAUCUGACCCUUGCUCGGGUUCGUAGCGCCUGUAGUUCGUCUCGGAGUUGUGAAGACGGCGCACCGCUUCCUGUAAACGACACGGCAAAGAAAAUACACUUUAAUAAAGCUGUUUCUGAUCACUUGUAAGGCUACUAGGCUACUCUUAGCUUAGCUUGAGGCUACGCUACUUUUAGCUUAGCUUGCAGUCAUCGAACGUAUUCUUACCGCUAUCGUGGGAUUGUGCGCCCGUCUCCUCUUCUUUGAGUCGGUUCCUCUCCUCCAUGGACAGAAACCCGCAGAGUCCUGAACGCUCCAGUGGAGCGAACCGCUCGUUGAUAUUGGCAGUUUGUUGUUGGAGUUGACGAGACGAUCCACUGAGAGCAUUCAGCAGCUUCUUCUCGUCUGUCUGCGGACUGGCCGAAAGUUGGUGACCGCGGAGAGGAGUUGAAGGCGAGUUGAACGCGAGACGUCGUCCCGCCAUUAUUCACGAACCAGCAAAAACCAAACAAAGGAACUGGAGAUACAGUUCUUCUGAACAUAGUAACACACGUGUCUGUUUGUAUGCUCGUCUUGCAAGUACUGCUGUAUCAGUCAUGCCUAUGACCUCACACGUGAUUGGACGAGGAGUCUAAGGGUCCUCCAAUCACAUACGAGGUUAUUGUUAUACGGAAGGACCAGUAUGUCGUGCAAUGAAACAGCUGAUAUGCUUUAUGUAAAGCAGUGUUUUGGUGUCAGCAGAACGACUUUCCCUAGAAAACUGUACAGUGGUGCCUCUUUCUCCAUUCCACCAGACAAUCUUGAGUCUGACAGACAUGCAAUGUUGACAAUGUAUCAUCACAUGUACCCUUGUGUCACUGAGGUUGAAUGUUUUGCCAUGACAUGUAAACGGGUAACAUAUAUUAAUGUAACUUACUCAAUCGAUAGAUGCAGAGCAGAAAGGUCAGCAUAUGUUUAUGCUAAGUGGUGUGGAAACACUAACAGUUUUGAGGAACCCGUCCUUGACCCUCUAGCAGAACUACGACCAGCCAUUAUAAAGCAGUUUAUAGUUGUUAAUGUUGUGUCAAAGGGAACGGCAUUUAAACAUGUUCUUGCACAAGUUUCCUGGCUUCAUCCCCACCCGGACAGACAUUUUUAUGGAAAGCCAAUAGAAGUUUGGGGCUUGCAGGGAACAGACACGUCAUACCCAGCAUAAUUUCUGCCAGUUGAGCGCAUUGCUAGAAGAUGUGUGGUUAAUACAUCCUCUGUGCAUUUAAGCAAGACCAAAGAAAAGGUCACUGUAGUCCUGCCACUAUGUCAAAUGUUGUUUGCAUGGAAUGCUCAUUUUACCUUGAUUAAAACUAAUUUUUUAAAGAAAUUAUUUUGUGUAUCUUUUUUACAUAACAUUUGCCAUUGCUAAUGGCGUACACAGUAAUCUAGCAUAUUUGAAUUAAAUAAAUCAAUUCAAGCUCAAAUGUAAGAGUCUAUAAUUAGGCUACUGAGCCUGAUUUAUUUGUACCAGAGAU